UCCACCACAACAUUUGUCAACCAGACAGGAGAGUUUACAAAUAUAUGUGAAAUGUGCAAAGAACCAAAUGCAGAAGCGGUAGCUGUAGUAGCAGGAUCGCCUGUACCCCCCAGUCAGUCUCUUGACUGUAAUAUACCAUCAAUGUGUUCUCCACCUGGUACAGUAUGUACUUCGAAUGACAUCAUCCCGAAGGGUUCGGGAUGUCCAGGUCAAACGACAGAAACCACGACAACAACUACCUCUGAAACAACAACAACUACUCCUGAACAUUCAACUACAUCUGAACAUUGCAGCAAGAUCAAUUACAGACAUCCGUUAUUUCGUCAUAUAAGAACACAUGGCAAAUAACAAAUACAGCAGUCUAAAACGUAAAUAAAAAUCAUUUGA